rnacentral:rRNA from 1 species
GUCGUAACAAGGUUUCCGUAGGUGAACCUGCGGAAGGAUCAUUAUUGAAUAAACUUGGUUGGGUUGUUGCUGGCUCCUCGGAGUAUGUGCACGCCUAGCGCCAUUUUUACCACCUGUGCACCUUUUGUAGACCUGGAUAUCUCUCGAGGAAACUCGGUUUGAGGACUGCUGUGUGAAAGCCAGCUUUCCUUGCAUUUCUGGGUCUAUGUUUUUAUAUACCCCAUAAGAAUGUAACAGAAUGUCGUUUACUGGCCUUUGUGCCUUUAAUCAAAUACAACUUUCAGCAACGGAUCUCUUGGCUCUCGCAUCGAUGAAGAACGCAGCGAAAUGCGAUAAGUAAUGUGAAUUGCAGAAUUCAGUGAAUCAUCGAAUCUUUGAACGCACCUGGCGCUCCCUGGUAUUCCGGGGAGCAUGUCUGUUUGAGUGUCAUUAAAUUCUCAACCUUUCCAGCUUUUGCGAGCUUGGUCAGGCUUGGAUGUGGGGGUUGCGGGCUUCUCAGAAGUCGGCUCUCCUUAAAUGCAUUAGUGAAACCUUUGUUGAUCAUCUCUUGGUGUGAUAAUUAUCUACGCCAUUGGAGUGUCAGCCUCAACUCUGUUGAGAGGUUCUGCUUCUAACUGUCCCUCUAGGGACAACUUCUGACCUUUGACCUCAAAUCAG